rnacentral:rRNA from 1 species
GAGUUUGAUCUUGGCUCAGAAUCAACGCUGGCGGCGUGCCUAACACAUGCAAGUCGCACGAGAAAGUGGAGCAAUCCACGAGUACAGUGGCGCACGGGUGAGUAACACGUGACUAACCUACCCUCGAGUGGGGAAUAACCUAGAGAAAUCUGGGCUAAUACCGCAUAACACUUACGAGUCAAAGCAGCAAUGCGCUUGGGGAGGGGUCGCGGCCGAUUAGCUAGUUGGCGGGGUAAUGGCCCACCAAGGCGAUGAUCGGUAUCCGGCCUGAGAGGGCGCACGGACACACUGGAACUGAAACACGGUCCAGACUCCUACGGGAGGCAGCAGUGGGGAAUUUGCGCAAUGGGGGAAACCCUGACGCAGCAACGCCGCGUGGAGGAUGAAAUCCCUUGGGAUGUAAACUCCUUUUGAUAGGGAAGAUAAUGACGGUACCUAUAGAAGAAGCCCCGGCUAAACUUCGUGCCAGCCGCCGCCGUAAU